GAGAUCUGUGGCUGAGCAGAGCUUACCUCAUCGCCGACAUAAUCAGAAGGAAUUCAAUAACGGGGUGCUAGGGACAAAGCGCUGCCUUCAAAAACAUGCCCCUAGUGACCCUCUUCCCCUAUCCAAACCCACCAACUGAUGACUGAGCUAUUCAGCCAUGGAUUCAUGGAUGCGUUAACCCGUAGGUGAGGUCCAAGUCCUCAGGAUCCAGUUGUCUUGCAAGCGGGCACCACUGAUGUGCUGAGAACCAACAUGAGAAUCCUUAGGUGGCCAUUUAAUACUGGAUUUGAGCUCUGGCUUCAGGAAAUGUAAAAAGCUGCAGAUCCCAGGGACAGCUGCAGAUCCUGGGGACAGUAUGCUUGACUCCACAGUCACAUUCCUUCCAGCUUCUCCUCCUAUGCCUGAGAGAUGGUUCCCACUCUCCCUCUUCUCAGGACUCUAGAAUCUUCCCUUCCCCUGUCUUCCAGAAAGAGGGAAAAGUAUACCGAUGUGUCACGCUUCAUACCCUCUGGAGUUCCUUCGUGGGGACAGUUAUGCCAUGACAUCUGUUUCACUAACAUAUCAACUGAGCCAGUUUGGUACCAUGGACCCUCCCAUGUGCGCAAUGAAUAAAUGACUGACCCCAAAUAUACCAAAAAAAGCUGCAGAUCCCAGGGACAGCUGCAGAUCCUGGGGACAGUAUGCUUGACUCCACAGUGUCAUUCCUUCCAGCUUCUCCUCCUAUGCCUGAGAGAUGGUUCCCACUCUCCCUCUUCUCAGGACUCUAGAAUCUUCCCUUCCCCUGUCUUCCAGAAAGAGGGAAAAGUAUACCGAUGUGUCACGCUUCAUACCCUCUGGAGUUCCUUCGUGGGGACAGUUAUGCCAUGACAUCUGUUUCACUAACAUAUCAACUGAGCCAGUUUGGUACCAUGGACCCUCCCAUGUGCGCAAUGAAUAAAUGACUGACCCCAAAUAUACACUUUUCAGUUUGAAAUCACUCCAUCGGUCAUUAUGUGGUAUCAAGGUUUGUGGGCAACACAUGGCACUCAACAGUGCGAACACUCAAGCAUCGUGCUCAUGAACCAAAGAAAGGACCCCACUUGUCGAGUUCUUGCUGCUGCUUCUGGUGCUUUUGGAGGUCAUCAUUGCUGUGGCAGGGUGAGCUGCUCAGCAGGUGAAGUACUUGCUGCUAAGGCCUGAGCUAUGACCUGAGCUGGGACCCAUGUGAUAGAAGGAGAGAACAGACAGCUGUCCUGUGACCUACACACACACACACACACACACACACACACACACACGCACACACACACACGAAUAAAUGAGUGCACUAAAAAGUUGCUUUUGCCGUCUCUCUGGAGCAACUCUUGGUAGCUUUGAGUUGAGCUGAGACAAGGUUCUGUUUUGUUUUUAUGGACAUUUGGUUUCCCCAUCAUGGCCUAUUGAACAGACCCUCUUUUCUCCAAUACAUAUUCUGCCAGUUGUCUUGAAGAUCAGUUGUCGUGGGGGUGAAUGGUGUGGGGGUGACUUCUAGGGUUUCAACCAUCCUCUAUUGGUUCAGAUGUUGAUGUUCGUGCUAGUGGCUUUUGUUUUUUACAUUGAUGCUCUGA